AGGACCUGGAGCUCAGCAACCGACGUCUGGUU
rnacentral:piRNA from 1 species